UACGUAGGGUGCGAGCGUUGUCCGGAAUUAUUGGGCGUAAAGGGCUCGUCGGCGGUUUGUCGCGUCGGGAGUGAAAACCUUGGGCUUAACUCAGGGCUUGCUUUCGAUACGGGCAGACUAGAGGUAUGCAGGGGAGAACGGAAUUCCUGGUGUAGCGGUGAAAUGCGCAGAUAUCAGGAGGAACACCGGUGGCGAAGGCGGUUCUCUGGGCAUGAUCUGACGCUGAGGAGCGAAAGUGUGGGGAGCGAACAGG
rnacentral:rRNA from 1 species